rnacentral:misc_RNA from 1 species
GGCUUCUCUACAGGUCAAUCUUUUUGUUCUUUAUACUUUAUGUUCUGCUUGUCUUUUGAAUUAGAGGCUUGUCUUGGUAAAAUUCAAUGAACUGGGAAGGUUUAGGGAGGUCUGUAUAACUUGUAUUUGCCUGGCAUUUCAAAUCUUACCAUUCAUGCAUUUGCUAGUGCUUCAGAGUAAAUUUCAUUACUUUGAGCACCAUGGUUAUGAGCCAAAUAUAAGCUAUAAGUUAGAUCAAAAUAAUGAGAUUUAGUGUAGUUCUGGUGAAUUGGUUAGUUUUGCAGUAAGUUCAAAUUGGUUUUAUUUUAUUUAGAAUGACAAUAAAAGGGGGAUUGAACUAGGCCUGAUGGGGUGUACCUGAACACUGCUCUGUCUAGUGUCUGCAUUUCAGUCUUAGAAAUAGCAUAUUGGGAAAGAUUUGAAUGCUUCUCUGAUGAUCUUGAAAUAAUGCAGGGCCAAGAUCACGGGCUACACACUGG